GACGUAGGGCGCGAGCGUUGUCCGGAAUUAUUGGGCGUAAAGAGCUCGUAGGCGGUUUGUCGCGUCUGCCGUGAAAGUCCGGGGCUCAACUCCGGAUCUGCGGUGGGUACGGGCAGACUAGAGUGAUGUAGGGGAGACUGGAAUUCCUGGUGUAGCGGUGAAAUGCGCAGAUAUCAGGAGGAACACCGAUGGCGAAGGCAGGUCUCUGGGCAUUAACUGACGCUGAGGAGCGAAGCAUGGGGAGCGAACAGG
rnacentral:rRNA from 1 species